AGGACCCUACCGUGUGCGAUUUGACAUCGGUAACUUUUGUUCCAACACCAUUUGAAAGGGGCCUCAGCUCCGGGUGUAGCGCGAGUGCCGCCGGCGUGCGGAGUCGUAAAACACUUGGGAGGGCACCCACCUGCAGGGCGCAGGGAUAGAAAUGUUACCGGCCAAGCGGCAUGGUGGGGUCAUG
rnacentral:other from 1 species